CUCUAGGGCAAUUUUUGACCACGGAUAACCUUAGAAAACAUGGUUUGUAUAUUGCUGAUUGGUGUGUCAUGUGCAAGAAGGAUGAUGAAUCUGUAAAUCAUCUCUUUCUUCAUUGUGAGGUGGCAAAGUCUUUAUGGAAUGAGGUUUUGAGGGAAGGAAAUGUGUAGCUGCCAGAUGGAAUAUGAUUCCUUUGUGUUUAAUGUGGUGUCUUUGGCUGGAAAGGAAUGAGAGAUGUUUUGAAGAUACUGUUCCUUCAUUGCCAAGUCGUGUACCCUUCACUUGAGCACUGUUGGCCACUGCAGCCAAGUCAUUCCCUACCGACAACCUUAGAACCGAGGCAUAGGUGGCACCUUUGGAGGGUAGAAACCUCUUUGCCUCCAUGUCCCUAGCUGCCUCCCUUCCCUUUUGGAAGCCGACAACUUUUCCGAGGUGGUAAGCAAAUUCUUCCCAGCCAUUGCCCUUUGAACCUUCAGGGACAGUCACCGAGCCUCUCCUCUUAACAUUCACGAGCUUUGCCAAAUGUAAGAAACAAGCCCUAGAGUUAACGUGUCGUUGAAUAGUGAGGACUCCAUUCCCCAUCCUCGUUUGCGUGAAGAAGCUUUCACGUCGACGAGAGGCUAGCCCUUCCUCCACCAUCUGACCACCCAUGUAGCCGAUGCCCUACUUGAGACGAAAGAUGUAGACAUUCUUCUGCUUCUUUCAGUGAUGUGAACACUACUACCACCCACCAUCGAGAAUAUGAAAGAUUUUGCUUCCACCGUAAAACACCUUUCACCCUCCAUUUAGUGAAAGAAAAAAUGACUGGAAAAGGGAGACGAGAGAGAGAGAGAGGGGUUUCUGACAAGAAGCGUCGUGGACCAAGGGAGUCAACUCUGGUGAGAAGCGCUGGAGGUGAGGUGACGAAUAUGCAUGAGAACAAGAAAAUUGUAUGGAGAGAAAGUUGUAAGAAGGAGCAAUCACAACUAUAAUUUUAUUUUGUAUUUUAAUAUUUUGUAUUUGAAAAAUAUUAAAAUUAUUAAAAAAGGAAAGGGCCCACCCCAUUGUGGUUGCUACCUUGGGGUGGCUAGAACUCGAUCACCAAGUACUAGUCACCUGUGGUGGUAAGAUGCCCUGGGGUGGCUCUCUCUUUCAAAAUAGGUUCAUCAUAAAGUAUAAAAGUCUUUUUUAUCAUAAACUUUUAUUUACUAUUGUUUAAAAAAACUUAAUUUGUGUUUUUAUUUUGGGGG